UUUGUACAAAAAGUCGUACUUAAUUCAAAUCAAUGUCCAAUUUGGAUUCUCAGCCCUACAGUGUGAAAAAGUAGGCAGUGGAAAAGUUCUGCUGAUUGUGCUGACCUGCACAAUGCCAGAUUCAUGUAAGCAAUCUUGAAAAUUUCCUGCAGUCAAAUACAUGACACCAAAGAAAAGAAUGCACAUACCUACUUUAUGUGACAAAAUUCCUUUGGCAGCAAUAUAUUUUCACAUGCUUGCCACUAACAAAAAUAGUUUGAAUUAUAAAUGUUCUCCUGGAAAAUCCACUGUUCCCAAUUUUCACACAACACUGAGUUACGAAAAAACAUUUUUUUUGCCAUUGCUGCUACCACAGGCCUGUGCUUCCACUGAUGUUUUUGGUUUGAACAACAAAAAUUCGUUCAUAUCUACAAUUAUCCAGUAUCAAAUCAUAUUUAACUAAAUUAACUUCUUUUGCAGAGAUCCAUACUCUUCAAAGUAUCAGUUCUAUCAUGAAGGAGAAUGAUGGGAGAAACAUCGACAUGCUAAAUUUGUGGGAGUAUGCUGAUUGCUGAAGCCUGACUGGAGCUAAUCCGCUUGGUGGCACCAGUCUGCAGUA